CAGGAGAACGGUUUGGUUCAAGACACUCAGACACUUCACUCCACCAGGAUACUAAGAUACAAUAUAGGCUACAGUUAUCCAGAGUGGCACAACUUUGCUUCUUGAGAUUAUAACGAAGAUGCACUUUAUCAAGAUAUCCCAAAAGGAAUAUAUUUGCCAUAUUUUUGUUUACAUCUGAAGCUGUGUAAAGAAACAAGGAGUUGCCAGCUAAAUGAUAGCAGCAUGUGGGAUGAAGGUCACCUUUAUUUUCCUUCUGAUCGGGAUCGUUAUGGCAGACACAACUGACCAUGUCCAAGAGUGGAAAGGGCAGAUGGAGUACAGCCUCAAACCUUUACCAGGUGAAUAUGAGGUGUGGGGUUCAUGAGUUCUUUUAAAGGCCAGCAGACCUAAGCAGAAUCUGACAGCUGGCCAGUCUACAAGCUGCAGUUUUACCUUUCUGUCUGGGCUUUGAGACGCUCCUCAUCAUACCUAGAGAAGGCAGAGAGUAAACACUGAGUUACCACACUGACAUACAUUUUUCACUGCAUUUCGUUGCCUUGUACUUGUACAUAUGUAAUGACAAUAAAGUUGAAUCUAAUUUUU